rnacentral:rRNA from 2 species
CGCGGCCUAUCAGCUUGUUGGUGAGGUAAUGGCUCACCAAGGCGACGACGGGUAGCCGGCCUGAGAGGGUGACCGGCCACACUGGGACUGAGACACGGCCCAGACUCCUACGGGAGGCAGCAGUGGGGAAUAUUGCACAAUGGGCGAAAGCCUGAUGCAGCGACGCCGCGUGAGGGAUGACGGCCUUCGGGUUGUAAACCUCUUUCAGCAGGGAAGAAGCCACAAGUGACGGUACCUGCAGAAGAAGCGCCGGCUAACUACGUGCCAGCAGCCGCGGUAAUACGUAGGGCGCAAGCGUUGUCCGGAAUUAUUGGGCGUAAAGAGCUCGUAGGCGGUUUGUCGCGUCUGCUGUGAAAGCCCGGGGCUUAACCCCGGGUGUGCAGUGGGUACGGGCAGACUAGAGUGCAGUAGGGGAGACUGGAAUUCCUGGUGUAGCGGUGGAAUGCGCAGAUAUCAGGAGGAACACCGAUGGCGAAGGCAGGUCUCUGGGCUGUUACUGACGCUGAGGAGCGAAAGCAUGGGGAGCGAACAGGAUUAGAUACCCUGGUAGUCCAUGCCGUAAACGUUGGGCACUAGGUGUGGGGGACAUUCCACGUUUUCCGCGCCGUAGCUAACGCAUUAAGUGCCCCGCCUGGGGAGUACGG